CACCUUCACGAGGAAGCCAAUUCACAAAACUUUCUAAAGAAAAUCCUGCAUAUUCGGUGCACACUAUACUAAAAGCGGUGUUUAAUGGAAAGAUUCUGAUCAAAAAUGUUUAAAGCAGGUAAAAGUGCUUGGAUUCUUUUAAGCGUGCUACUGGCUGUUUGUAUAGAGCGCGCGACCAGCUUCCCAACGAGACAUCAGCGCGCAAACACUGUAUUCAGACACGGCGUCUCUGGAGAGUAUAAACAAUUUCAGAGAACUUCUAGAGAUGACCAUGACUAUAACCUCCUUAAUGAGCGGAAUCAAGUCCAGAGUGAUUUGGCGGAUUCACGUUCCCACCAACACAGGUGGAACCAGCAUUACUCCACAGGUGUCCUACCACAGCCUGAGCCCGAGGAAGAAUCCAAACCUUUUGUUCUAGACCUAAAAAACUUCCCCGACCUGGUGAAUGCUGACAUUGGAACCCAAAACCCCAACAUUCAGGUGACUAUUGAGGUGUUGGAUGACUCUCACCUGGAAGCAGAAGUGGACCUUGUUAAAGAGUGGAAUGACGACUGGCCUACGUCUUCCUCCUCUUCUGUAGACUGGCUGGGAGGGAAAAAGCUCUUUUGGCCUUUGUUCUGGGGUUACACAGAUGCAGAUGAGGAUGAGGAUGGUACAGGCCAAACUGAGGAGGAAGAGGACGACUACAUUGUGGAGUAUGACAGUGGCGAGACCCUUCCUAGUGGGCUGGGAGGAGAUUGGGAAGAACCUUUGACUCCUGCUAUAAUCCACUAUGAAGAGACAGAGGAAUGGAGUGCAUGGACACCCUGUAGUGUUGCCUGUGGCCAUGGCAACCAGUCACGUUCACGUUCAUGUGGAGAUUUCUGCACAUCAACUGAGUCACAAAGCUGUGACCUUGCCCCAUGCCCAGAUGAUUUAAACAGUGUGGCUGAAGUCUUUCCAUUCCAGAUAGAGAAUGGUACAGAACCUUUCGGCACUGAUGUUGACAGCUGUGAGAAGUGGUUAAACUGUAAGAGUGAGUUUCUCCAGCGUUACUUACAGCAGGUCUUGACUGAAUUACCCAGCUGCCCUUGCACCUAUCCCUCAGAGGUCUCCAACAGCAUUAUCAACCUGCUGGACGUGGGACGUGACCGGACCUUCCGAUGGAGGGAUGCUAGUGGUCCUAAAGAACGGCUGGACAUCUACAAGCCCUCUGCGCGCACAUGCUUGCGCUCCGCUCUCACGGGAGAUGCCACCACACUUGGCGUCCAGCAUUGUUGCUAUGACGACCAGAGGCAGCUAAUCACUAGGGGCAAGGGGGCGGGUACCCCCAAUCUCAUAAGCACAGAAUUCUCACAGGAGCUACAUUUCAAGGUGGACGUUCUGCCCUGGAUACUGUGCAAAGGAGACUGGAGCCGGUUUCACGCUGUCCGCUCGCCCAACAACGGCCUGCAGUGCACGGAGAACCCACACCAGGAGGUCUACAUGAACGAACUGGAGGAGGCCAGAGAAUAUUGAAGCACCAAACUACUGUCUACCGUCCCCGCCAUCUGCUUUCUGCCAUGGUGCUCAGCUCUUGUGGGACCCAUUGCUGUAACUGUGCAUUGCUUCUUGCCAAGUAGCUGCUUUUGUAACUUUUUGAGUUUUGUGGCUUUGGUUUUAUAUGGUUCAUAAUUGAAUGAUGCGAGUAUAUGGGUAAACUAUAUAGUGUUUCAAAAUCCCUUUCAAUGGAAAACACACUGUAUUUUUGUACUUUUCUUUUAUUUACCAAUGAAACAAUCUAAGUCAGUGUUGAGAACCACUGAUCUAAGUGAAACGCAGAUUUGUUUUAGUAGCUGGUUUGUCCCCUUUUUUGCUUUGUUGACAAAACUUUGAGAUAUAAGAAUGUUCCAAAGAGCAUCUUGUGUAUUGCAAUGUGAUAUUUUGUACAAAGGUAUUAACAUAGUCAAUGCCAUUUGAUUGAAAGGUGACAUUGACAGACCAUUGAAGAUUUCAUAUAAUCCCUGAAAAUAAUGAUAUUUUUCCGGAUUUCAAUGUGGUUUUAGAUUUUUUAACAAUUGCAUGUGCUUCAAUAAUAACAAUGUUGCCAUGACUAUUGGAAGCAUGGAUCAAAUACAGUCAGAUCACAUUUUUUGCCAGAAAGACAUAAUAUAUAGAGUAUUUGGGUAGGCUAUUUAAGUAUUUGUUGUAACAGUCAUGUUUUAUUGAAGAACCUAUUUAUACUCCAAUAUGCUAUCUCUCUAUAUUCUCUUGUUUCCAAACUAGUUGUAUAAGCAUGUUUGUGCGUGAAUUGGCAUAUUUUCACGGUCCACUCAGGGUAAAUCUCUAUAAGUUCCUUAUGAUUUUUUAUAAAGUUUUGAUAGAGUCUAUGAUUUCCGAAUGAGAAAUAGCAGACAAGAGAAUAUUUAAGAAUAUGGAUUGUUACAAUGUUGUACUUAAUAUGAUGCUCAUGUGCAGUUUAGUGGAAGGUUGAUCUGCGAAUGUGCAUUUGGUGUGUUCAUUUUGUGGUUGUUUAUCAUGCCUUGUCUAGAACUGUUGCUGGUGAGCUGCUUGCUCCAGAAAUCCAAUUUAAUGUGCACUUUAUUUAAUGUUCAUUCAAAUAACAUUUUUGCUGAUUUUGUUAUAAAGGGAUUGCUUUUCCUGGUCAUUGUAACAUUAAUGGCAAGAACAGUAUUUUUGUCAUUUUCUGAAUUAGUGUUUGGGCAUGUGAUUGUACAGUAUUUAUUGUGUUGACGCUUUGAACUGAUUAUCCAUUCAGAUGGUGCACUAUCCAGAAUCCAUCAGGACACUUACUUAAAAAAGGGAAAUCAUAUUGUCACACAACUCUUUUGAGAGUAACACAGGUUUAUGUUUAUUGUUGUUCUA